GAUGAAGAACGCAGCGAAAUGCGAUAAGUAAUGUGAAUUGCAGAAUUCAGUGAAUCAUCGAAUCUUUGAACGCACAUUGCGCCCUCUGGUAUUCCGGGGGGCAUGCCUGUUCGAGCGUCAUUAUAACCACUCAAGCUCUCGCUUGGUAUUGGGGUUCGCGGUUUCGCGGCCCCUAAAAUCAGUGGCGGUGCCUGUCGGCUCUACGCGUAGUAAUACUUCUCGCGAUUGAGUUCGAUAGAUCUACUUGCCAGUAACCCCCAAUUUUUACAGGUUGACCUCGGAUCAGGUAGGGAUACCCGCUGAACUUAAGCAUAUCAAUAAGCGGAGA
rnacentral:misc_RNA from 1 species